GAACACCUACCUUUCAUCUCCUAAGUGAAAUGCAAGAGGCAUCAUCACUCUAUGGAAAGAAGAAACUCUGCUAGAGAUGUUUUUCCUCACAAUCACUUCCCCUGAUGACGUGCCCUGCUCCUUCAACAUUAGUUCUGCUGUCACCCCUCAUGGAAGCUUUCCUUCACCUUUCAUUAAGCACAGAGCUUUUUCUGACUGAAGGCAGAGAUCUCAGCGUUAUUCAAAGUGUGAGAAGAGCUCAGCUCAGGGCUGUUGCUUUAAAAUGGAAAAACUGUAUGAGAGGAACACAGAUGAGCUAAGCUGCUGAGGGAAUCCCCCAGCUGAGAAACAGGAACCUCAGUCCCAUCAUCACAAUGCACUGAACUCAGCCAACAACGUUAGUGAGUAAAUUCUUCGUCAGAGCAUCCUGAUAAAACACUAGCCCAUGGCUUCUCAUGGCCUUUUAUUAUCACAUAUAUAGUGAUAAAAAAAAUACUCUAUUUUAUAUUGGAAUACCUAAACUGCAACUUUCUUCUGAUGGAUAUGUAAGAGUUAUGUAAUUUUGGAAUUCAUCUGCUCUAUUCAUGAUAAAACACUUAGUGACAGAAUACAAAGAGUUGCUGUAUUAAUCUAAAACAAUGAGGUUUUCAUGGAUAAUGAAAAAAAUAAGUGAAAUGAAAAGCAAGGAUCCUGAAAGAAGAAAAGAAGAAAAAGGAGUUUUCCCUCAGAUUAAAUCAUCUGGCACCAUCAAGACUGAAACGACCUCAGGAAGAGGAUGGAGUCAGUCACAGUGAGAACAAAUGGAUUAAAAUAAAACCAGGGACCAAGAUUUAGGACAAUCACAAACCUAUUAAAAAAAAAAAAGGAAAAGAAAAAAAAAGAAAAGAUUCUAUAUUGAAGGAAAGGUGAGGUAGGAAGUAUGAAAGCAGGGUAAAAAUAAACAGAACAUGGGGAGAAAUCUCUGUGAAGAAAUGUACUUUAAUAUCAGCUCUUCAAAGAGGUGAAUAAAAAGGAAGAUGUAUGGGGUGCUUCCUGAAAGUGGUAUGAGAUGUGCCAAACUCUGAGGGUGAGGACCUUAUGAGUGGUGGCUCAGAUGAAGAACAUGGGAAAAGAAUUCAGAAAAAUGGGAAUAGCAUUCUUCAGUGCCAUGUGGAGGAGGUAAUAUUAAAGAUCCAAUGAUAUAGUUGAGCCCUGAAAAUGUUAGUUUUUAAAAUUUCACUCAAAUAUUUUUUCAAGUUUUCUCAUUCAUACAGAUCACCGGACUAAAUAAAUGAUCACCAGAGAAACCAAACAUUGCCUAUCUUUAUUUAGCCUUUGACACUUGGAAAGAACACAACAUUUUUUUUCCCCUAGCAUCAGCAGCUAAUGCUAUUACAUUAGUUAAUUCUCCCUGUACAUAAAUGAAAACAACAUGGGGAUCGUUUCCUUCAGAUACAGGCUAAGUUUCACAUGACAAGCUCACUGAGUUCAGUUGGUCCACUAUAAACUUCUUAUUUAGAUUAAGAAUACACUAGACAUCUGGGCCAUCCAAGGAGUUCAGGAAUAAUCCAUUAGCAAACCUGCCACUAGAAUACAAAUAUAUA